GACGGAGGAUGCAAGCGUUAUCCGGAAUGAUUGGGCGUAAAGCGUCCGCAGGUGGCAGUUCAAGUCUGCUGUCAAAGACCGGGGCUUAACUUCGGAAAGGCAGUGGAAACUGAACAGCUAGAGUAUGGUAGGGGCAGAGGGAAUUCCUGGUGUAGCGGUGAAAUGCGUAGAGAUCAGGAAGAACAUCGGUGGCGAAGGCGCUCUCUGGGACGGUACUGACGCUGAGACGCGAAAGCGUGGGGAGCGAACAGG
rnacentral:rRNA from 1 species